AAAAAAAGGAGAGAAGGACAUUCCUGG
rnacentral:piRNA from 1 species